rnacentral:lncRNA from 1 species
CUUGAUUUGAUCUGCGCAGAAUUUGUAAUUUAAUUUGUAAUUGAACCAUAGGGUAAGCAGACUUGCGAGAACCUUGGUUCCACCCUGGAUGAAAGUCCAAGGUUUGGUUGUAAUUUUGGUUUGGGGCACCAUUUCUUUGCCGCGGUUUGUCCUGUUUAAUGUCUGUCCUGUCUAAUGUCUCCAUGUCUCAUAUUUGUGGCAUGCAUGGGUCAGGGGUCUUUUCUUGUUGCCCUAAGCACAUGGCACGGGAAAGGAGUUCUGCCAUGUGUCACGGGUUAGAAUGUGUUAUGUUGGAGUCCCCCGAUGCUGCUUUUCUGAACUCGAACCACUGCUGCAGCCCUUACAGCUGAGCCUGGCCCAUGUAGUUUAUAAUGUCAGACAGACUGCCAGAUCCGGACAGUGACCCAAAGUCUCCAAAGAAGAUUACGAGGCACCUCAGUUCCUGCACCUGGACCAGUGAGCGAGAUGCUCAGAUGUGAAACCUGCCGCCUGCCAGGACCUGGCCGAGACUGUGGACAAAGCUGCUGGACACUGGAAAAUUGAUUGCACCCCUUUGCCUAGACAAAACAAGGUCAGUCUUUUCCAUGUCCCUCUUCCACAGAGAGGAAAAAAAAACUCUCACAGUAUAGGCCUGGCGAAGAUUGCUGUUCUUUGAGACAGCUGCCUCCAACGGUAAUGGAGAAACUUGGGUGUGGCUAACUGUAUAUAGACUGGCUUCUGUCACUUUUCAGUAGAUUCGGAUAAAAUAUACCCUUCUCAGAUCUCUGAAAUAUUACUGGUUGUCAGCUUGACAGCAUCAGGCAGUCAGAUCCACUAUAGACUAGUCAGUAUGUUAGCUGAUAAAAUAGUAACUAUCUACUGUUCAGGCACAAGCUCAAAGUUUUUAAGUUUAUUUUGGUUGUCAUCUAAGUACAAACUUAAAGGGCUUUUCAUCAGGCCAAAGGCACCUCUGUCCAAUCCAUACCUGGCUCUCUGG